rnacentral:sRNA from 1 species
ACCAGGGUCCUAAAUAAAAAGACACGCUGUGCUUGCACAAGCGUGUCUUUUUUAUUUCAGGGCCCGCCCCUUCUAUGAGCAUAAAAGCGAUGCGAUAAGCAUCGCGAUAUGCGAAUAGAAGCCAUGAUUGCGGGAGUGCGAAGCACGUAGCAAUCA